AGGAGUGGAAUUGCCAAGCCAUAUGAUAACUCUACAUUUAACUUUUUGUGAACCUGUGGACAUGUUUUCCAAAGUGGCUGCACAACUUACAUUUCCAGUCAGCAACACAGGAGGCUGCCAGCAGUGUUUUUAUAUCCAUUCAUGUUGAUGCCUGUGACCAAGGCAUCUGCUAUAUGUGAUCAAGAGCUCCUUCAGAGGACAGUCAGCCCUCCACAUCUGAAGAUGUCUACAUCUGCAGAUUCAACCAAAUACAGAUUGAAUUUUUUAAAUCCAGAAAACCAAUUUGCCCCCACCAAACACUAUACUAAAUUCAUGCAAAUAAAGUGAUACAUAGAUGCA